UACGUAGGGUGCGAGCGUUGUCCGGAAUUAUUGGGCGUAAAGAGCUCGUAGGCGGUUUGUCGCGUCGGAUGUGAAAGCCCGGGGCUUAACUCCGGGUCUGCAUUCGAUACGGGCAGGCUAGAGUUCGGUAGGGGAGAUCGGAAUUCCUGGUGUAGCGGUGAAAUGCGCAGAUAUCAGGAGGACGAGCCGGUGGCGAAGGCGGAUCUCUGGGCCGAUACUGACGCUGAGGA
rnacentral:rRNA from 1 species